CCUACGGGAGGCAGCAGUGAGGAAUAUUGGUCAAUGGACGAGAGUCUGAACCAGCCAAGUAGCGUGAAGGAUGACUGCCCUAUGGGUUGUAAACUUCUUUUAUAUGGGAAUAAAACGUUCCACGUGUGGGAUUUUGUAUGUACCAUAUGAAUAAGGAUCGGCUAACUCCGUGCCAGCAGCCGCGGUAAUACGGAGGAUCCGAGCGUUAUCCGGAUUUAUUGGGUUUAAAGGGAGCGUAGGUGGAUUGUUAAGUCAGUUGUGAAAGUUUGCGGCUCAACCGUAAAAUUGCAGUUGAAACUGGCAGUCGUGAGUACAGUAGAGGUGGGCGGAAUUCGUGGUGUAGCGGUGAAAUGCUUAGAUAGCACGAAGAACUCCGAUUGCGAAGGCAGCUCACUGGACUGCAACUGACACUGAGGCUCGAAAGUGUGGGUAUCAAACAGGAUUAGAUACCCCUGUAGUC
rnacentral:rRNA from 1 species